rnacentral:rRNA from 1 species
UGGGGAAUCUUGCGCAAUGGGCGGAAGCCUGACGCAGCGACGCCGCGUGGGGGAUGAAGGCCUUCGGGUUGUAAACCUCUUUCAGCGCCGAAGAAGCGAAAGUGACGGUAGGCGCAGAAGAAGCACCGGCUAACUACGUGCCAGCAGCCGCGGUAAUACGUAGGGUGCAAGCGUUGUCCGGAAUUAUUGGGCGUAAAGAGCUCGUAGGUGGCGGGUCACGUCGGGUGUGAAAGCCCGGGGCUUAACCCCGGGUCUGCAUUCGAUACGGGCUUGCUAGGGUCCGGCAGGGGAGACUGGAAUUCCUGGUGUAGCGGUGAAAUGCGCAGAUAUCAGGAGGAACACCGGUGGCGAAGGCGGGUCUCUGGGCCGGUACCGACGCUGAGGAGCGAAAGCGUGGGGAGCGAACA